rnacentral:misc_RNA from 3 species
AAUUCUCAACCCCAGCGGUUCGUUGGGGCUUGGACUUGGAGCGUGCUGGCGAAGGUCGGCUCCUCUUUAAAUGCAUCAGCGGAAAAACGAACUUUCCCUUCAGCGUGAUAAUCCUGUUGCGCUGUGGUGGGUCAAGGUCCCGCUCACAAUCGUCCUCGGACAAAAGACACAUCUG